rnacentral:rRNA from 1 species
AACGGAUAAAAGCUACCCCGGGGAUAACAGGCUUAUCUCCCCCAAGAGUUCACAUCGACGGGGAGGUUUGGCACCUCGAUGUCGGCUCAUCGCAUCCUGGGGCUGUAGUCGGUCCCAAGGGUUGGGCUGUUCGCCCAUUAAAGCGGUACGCGAGCUGGGUUCAGAACGUCGUGAGACAGUUCGGUCCCUAUCCGUCGUGGGCGUAGGAAAUUUGAGAGGAGCUGUCCUUAGUACGAGAGGACCGGGAUGGACAUACCUCUGGUGUACCAGUUGUCGUGCCAACGGCAUAGCUGGGUAGCUAUGUAUGGACGGGAUAAGUGCUGAAAGCAUCUAAGCAUGAAGCCCCCCUCAAGAUGAGAUUUCUCAACUUCGGUUAUAAGAUCCCUCGAAGAUGACGAGGUUAAUAGGUUCGAGGUGGAAGCGUGGUGACACGUGGAGCUGACGAAUACUAAUCGAUCGAAGACUUAAUCAA